rnacentral:lncRNA from 1 species
GUUGAUAGAUGGGAAUUGUUUUAGAAUUUUUAAGCAAUAUGUUGCAUUUUUUAAAUAUAUUUUAUAAGAACUACUAUUUUAGGAAAGUCGUCAUUUUUCUAGAGAAAUAUUGUAGAUUUGGGAUUGUGAUUGAAAAAUUAGGAUAACAAGAGUUUUUGUUGAUAGAUGGGCAUUCUUUUAGAAUGUUUGAUCAAUAGAUUUAAUUUUAAAUAAUAUUUUUAAAAAUUGCUGUUUUGGGAAAAUCAUCAAUUCUGUGUAGAAAUUUUGUAGAUUUGAAAUUGCGAUUAGGCAAUUGAGAUAACAAGAGUUUUCGUUGAUAGAUGGGCAUUUGAUAAGAAUUUUUGAAUACUAUUUUGUAUUUUUCAAAUAAAUAUUUCUGAAACUGCUAUUUUAAGAAAGUUAUCAGUUUGUACAUAAAUAUUGUCGAUUUGGGAUUGCGAUUGAGAAAUUAGAGUAACAAGAGUUUUUGUUGAUAUUUGGACGUUCUUUUAGAAUUUUUGAGCAAUAUGUUGCAUUUUUAAAGAAAUUUUCUACAAACUGAUAUUUAAGGAAACUUAUCAUUUUUGUAAAGAAAUAUUGUAGAUUUGGGAUUAUGAUUGAGAAAUUAGGAUAUCAAUAGUUUUUGUUGAUAGAUGGACAUUGUUUUAGAAUUUUAAAGCAAUAGGUUGCAUUUUUUAAAGAAAUUUUCUAAAAACUACUAUUUUAGGAAAAUUAUUACUUUGUAGAGAAAUAUUGUAGAUUUGGGAUUGUGAUUGAGAAAUUAGGAUAACAAGAGUUUUUGUUGAUAGAUGGACAUUCUUUUAGAUUUUUUAAACAAUAGGUUGCAUCUUUUAAAUAAAUGUUCUAAUAACUUCUAUUUUAGGAAAAUUAUUAUUUUUGUAGAGAAAUAUGAUAGAUUUGAGAUUGUGAUUUAGAAAUUAGAAUAACAAGAACUUUUUUUUAUAGAUGAGCAUUAUUUAAGAAUUUUUGAUCAAUACGUUUUAUUUUUAAAUAAAUUUUCUAAAAAGUGCUAUUUUGGGAAUGUUAUCAAUUUUGUAGAGAAUAAUGUAGAUUUGCGAUUAUGAUUGGGAAAGUAGAAUAACAAGAGUUUUUGCUGAUCGAUGUGCAUUCUCUUAAAAAUUUUGAUCAAUAUGUUGCAUUUUUAAUGAAUUAGGAUAACAAGAGUUUUUUUGAUAGAUGAGCAUUUUUUUAGAAUUUUUGAUCAAUAGGUUUUAUUUUUAAAUAAAUUUUCUAAAAAGUGGUACAUGGAGAAAGUUAUCAAUUUUGUACAUAAAUAUUGUAGAUUUGUGAUUGUGAUUGAAAAAUUAGGAUAACAAGAAUUUUUGUUGAUCGAUGGCCAUUCUUUUAGAAUUUUUGACCAAUAUGUUGCAUUUUUAAAUAUAUUUUAUAAAAAUUAUUAUUUUUGGACUGUCAUCAUUUUUGUAGGGAUAAAUAUUGUAGAUUUGAGAUUAUGAUUGAGAAAUUAGGAUAACAAGAGUUUUUGUUGAUAGAGAGGCUUUUUUUAGAAUGUCUGAUAAAUAGGUUUCAUUUUAAAUAAAUUUUUUAAAAAUUGCUUUUUUUGAGAAAAUCAUCAAUUCUGUAUAGAAAUAUUGUAGAUUUGAAAUUGUGAUUAUGCAAUUGAGAUAACAAGAGUUUUUGUUGAUAGAUGGGCAUUUGAUAAGAAUUUUUGAAUACUAUUUUGUAUUUUUCAAAUAAAUAUUUCUGAAACCGCUAUUUUAAGAAAGUUAUCAGUUUGUACAGAAAUAUUGUCGAUUUGGGAUUACGAUUGAGAAAUUAGAGUAACAAGAGUUUUUGUUAAUAUAUGGACAUUCUUUUAGAAUUUUUGAGCAAUACAGUUUUAAAGAAAUUUUCUAAAAACUGCUAUUUUAGGAAACUUAUCAUUUUUGUAAAGAAAUAUUGUAGAUUUGAAAUUGUGAUUAAGCAAUGGGAAUAACAAGAGUUUUUGUUGAUAGAUGGGAAUUGUUUUAGAAUUUUUAAGCAAUAUGUUGCAUUUUUUAAAUAUAUUUUAUAAGAACUACUAUUUUAGGAAAGUCGUCAUUUUUCUAGAGAAAUAUUGUAGAUUUGGGAUUGUGAUUGAAAAAUUAGGAUAACAAGAGUUUUUGUUGAUAGAUGGGCAUUCUUUUAGAAUGUUUGAUCAAUAGAUUUAAUUUUAAAUAAUAUUUUUAAAAAUUGCUGUUUUGGGAAAAUCAUCAAUUCUGUGUAGAAAUUUUGUAGAUUUGAAAUUGCGAUUAGGCAAUUGAGAUAACAAGAGUUUUCGUUGAUAGAUGGGCAUUUGAUAAGAAUUUUUGAAUACUAUUUUGUAUUUUUCAAAUAAAUAUUUCUGAAACUGCUAUUUUAAGAAAGUUAUCAGUUUGUACAUAAAUAUUGUCGAUUUGGGAUUGCGAUUGAGAAAUUAGAGUAACAAGAGUUUUUGUUGAUAUUUGGACGUUCUUUUAGAAUUUUUGAGCAAUAUGUUGCAUUUUUAAAGAAAUUUUCUACAAACUGAUAUUUAAGGAAACUUAUCAUUUUUGUAAAGAAAUAUUGUAGAUUUGGGAUUAUGAUUGAGAAAUUAGGAUAUCAAUAGUUUUUGUUGAUAGAUGGACAUUGUUUUAGAAUUUUAAAGCAAUAGGUUGCAUUUUUUAAAGAAAUUUUCUAAAAACUACUAUUUUAGGAAAAUUAUUACUUUGUAGAGAAAUAUUGUAGAUUUGGGAUUGUGAUUGAGAAAUUAGGAUAACAAGAGUUUUUGUUGAUAGAUGGACAUUCUUUUAGAUUUUUUAAACAAUAGGUUGCAUCUUUUAAAUAAAUGUUCUAAUAACUUCUAUUUUAGGAAAAUUAUUAUUUUUGUAGAGAAAUAU